UACGUAGGUGGCAAGCGUUGUCCGGAAUUAUUGGGCGUAAAGCGCGCGCAGGCGGUCCUUUAAGUCUGAUGUGAAAGCCCACGGCUCAACCGUGGAGGGUCAUUGGAAACUGGGGACUUGAGUACAGAAGAGGAAAGCGGAAUUCCACGUGUAGCGGUGAAAUGCGUAGAGAUGUGGAGGAACACCAGUGGCGAAGGCGGCUUCUGGUCUGUAACUGACGCUGAGGCGCGAAAGCGUGGGGAGCAAACAGG
rnacentral:rRNA from 1 species